GAAUGCUGACAUAAGUAACGAUAAAGCGGGUGAAAAGCCCGCUCGCCGGAAGACCAAGGGUUCCUGUCCAACGUUAAUCGGGGCAGGGUGAGUCGACCCCUAAGGCGAGGCCGAAAGGCGUAGUCGAUGGGAAACGGGUUAAUAUUCCCGUACUUGGUGUUACUGCGAAGGGGGGACGGAGAAGGCUAUGUUGGCCGGGCGACGGUUGUCCCGGUUUAAGCGUGUAGGUGUGUGUUCCAGGUAAAUCCGGUUCACUUUAACACUGAGGCGUGACGACGAGGCACUACGGUGCUGAAGCAACAAAUGCCCUGCUUCCAGGAAAAGCCUCUAAGCAUCAGGUAACAUCAAAUCGUACCCCAAACCGACACAGGUGGUCAGGUAGAGAAUACCAAGGCGCUUGAGAGAACUCGGGUGAAGGAACUAGGCAAAAUGGUGCCGUAACUUCGGGAGAAGGCACGCUGACACGUAGGUGAAGUGAUUUACUCACGGAGCUGAAGUCAGUCGAAGAUACCAGCUGGCUGCAACUGUUUAUUAAAAACACAGCACUGUGCAAACACGAAAGUGGACGUAUACGGUGUGACGCCUGCCCGGUGCCGGAAGGUUAAUUGAUGGGGUCAGCGCAAGCGAAGCUCCUGAUCGAAGCCCCGGUAAACGGCGGCCGUAACUAUAACGGUCCUAAGGUAGCGAAAUUCCUUGUCGGGUAAGUUCCGACCUGCACGAAUGGCGUAAUGAUGGCCAGGCUGUCUCCACCCGAGACUCAGUGAAAUUGAACUCGCUGUGAAGAUGCAGUGUACCCGCGGCAAGACGGAAAGACCCCGUGAACCUUUACUAUAGCUUGACACUGAACAUUGAGCCUUGAUGUGUAGGAUAGGUGGGAGGCUUUGAAGUGUGGACGCCAGUCUGCAUGGAGCCGACCUUGAAAUACCACCCUUUAAUGUUUGAUGUUCUAACGUGGACCCGUUACCCGGGUUGCGGACAGUGUCUGGUGGGUAGUUUGACUGGGGCGGUCUCCUCCUAAAGAGUAACGGAGGAGCACGAAGGUUGGCUAAUCCUGGUCGGACAUCAGGAGGUUAGUGCAAUGGCAUAAGCCAGCUUGACUGCGAGCGUGACGGCGCGAGCAGGUGCGAAAGCAGGUCAUAGUGAUCCGGUGGUUCUGAAUGGAAGGGCCAUCGCUCAACGGAUAAAAGGUACUCCGGGGAUAACAGGCUGAUACCGCCCAAGAGUUCAUAUCGACGGCGGUGUUUGGCACCUCGAUGUCGGCUCAUCACAUCCUGGGGCUGAAGUAGGUCCCAAGGGUAUGGCUGUUCGCCAUUUAAAGUGGUACGCGAGCUGGGUUUAGAACGUCGUGAGACAGUUCGGUCCCUAUCUGCCGUGGGCGCUGGAGAACUGAGGGGGGCUGCUCCUAGUACGAGAGGACCGGAGUGGACGCAUCACUGGUGUUCGGGUUGUCAUGCCAAUGGCACUGCCCGGUAGCUAAAUGCGGAAGAGAUAAGUGCUGAAAGCAUCUAAGCACGAAACUUGCCCCGA
rnacentral:rRNA from 1 species